UAGGGGUUCUCUCCCUAACCUCCAUUUCAACAUUGCACGCUCCAAAAUCAGAACAGCCAGGAGCUAGGGUUUCUCCUCUGCAUGAGAACACCAGAGAGGCUUUGCCUCUACCGUUCACUCAUGCACACACUGCCGUCGACGGCCACAGGCCGUGAGCCAAGACCGCACCGGUGACUCUGCUCGUCACCGGAGCCGACGCCGACCACCAGGUUUCCUCCCCUACUCGCCACCACCUCUACUCAGCCUCCACCGUUCUACGUCGCCGCUCCUCUUCCUCCUCAGUUCGAGGGUUCCCUUUCUCCUCCUCUCUACGUCGUCGUUGAAGUCUCAUCAUCUCAUCCUCGUCGGCGACUGCGACCUUUACCGAACACGUUGCACGAACCAACUUUCUUCUUCUUCGAACGAAACCGUCGCCGACAGUGAAACUGGUGCCACCGCCGCUGUCGACAACCGGUAGGAGCCGCUCUCGUUCACGGCGGUUCAAGAUGCCCUUGCUACCGCAAUCGAAGGGUGAAAGGAACACACUGUGGUGUUCCUGAGUGAAUCUGUGUGAGGUGGGGAAUGAAGAUGACACUCUGGUUGCGAUGCAGGGGUUUAUGGAGAUGAAAAAUGGGUUCUCUGCCUUUGCGCGUGCUUCUUUGUGGCUCGAAUGGAAAUGGAACUUGGUGUUGAGUGGUUGGAGGAAUGAUGGACAGUGCAGGGGGAUACAAGCCUGUGUGUGGAGCUUGAAAAUGAUUUUUUCUUUUUGGUGAUUGGUUUUAUCGUUGUGGCUUUGUGUUGUGCAGGUUGAAGAUGAUGGUGUUAUGCGUGUUGACUUAGCGGAAGUAUCAGGAGAAGAAUGACGAACUAGAGUUUCUUGCUGUCGAGAUCAAUGAGGAAAGGGUGAGGGGUUUGGAGGAUGACGCUAUCGUAAGCGUGGGUGAGGAUGAUUGUGGUUGGGAUGUAGGUUGGGGGACAAAGGCAAAGAUGAAUGGAGUCAGCUGGGGUAAAAGAACGGUCUUGAAUAAACUGACACGGGAUCUGUAAUUUGGUCUGUUGAUGCUAUUUGAUGCAGGUGGAAGAUGGUCUCGAAGAUAGCCAUAACUUAUACCAGUAUACCUAGAUUGAGAGGAACCUAUGGAGGAACCUAUGGUCUACUAUAAGGACAAAACCACUUCUAUUCUUUCAGUUUUUUAUAAGAACUGAUAUGGAAAUAUGAAGUCACAGAAGAAGCAAACGACUAUGUACUGAUCAAACAUCCUUCAUGCAUAUCCAGACAGCAUUAUUCAUUCAUACCCAACAUCAUUCAUUCAUAUCUAGACUCAUAACAGAGGGCAUGUAUUCACAUAAGGCAAAACCAAGAGCUUAAACAAGGAAACUUACCUUCGCAGCUUCAAAAGAACUCUCCCUUUUGGCUUCUAGUUCCCUCUGUCUUCUUGACUGGAAUUUUCCUUUGCUUUCCAAUGGUCUUGCCGGCGUAAGAAGGUAGAAUGGGAGGUUCAAGGAUGGCAACCAAAGUGAAGGCAAUUGGUUCCCUCUUAUCUCCGUGAGGUCUCUCUCCUAAGCCAUGAUGAUCGGUGUCAAAGGUGAGUCCUCAAUACUCUCUGGCUGUGAUGGUGAUUAUGGCCUCUGAGAUGGUGAAUACGACUGUGAUAAUGGGUAUUGGAGGUGGAUGAUUCACGCUGUUGGAGCCACGGUGGUUGGGUGUUGGAGGUUUUUUCUUUUUUCUGUGAAUCGAGGAAGUUGCUUCCAAGUUCUCUGUUCAAUGAAUGGAGUUGAGAGUAGUGAAAAAAAAUGUUUUUUUUUCAUUGAUUAGUCCGCAUCCCUUAAGAUUUCUUUUCUUUGCCUUUUGUCUUUUUUAUCUUUUUAUGUUUCAAAUGAAUGAAUUGGUCAAAGCAAAUAAGCAAAUCAGAGAUCCUUUUCCCAUUUGAUGUAUGAUCACAACUCUGCAUAAUGCAUUUUGAGCAAGGGAACCGAAGACCUUUUUCACACUGAUGCUGCAAGGGAUUUUUUUAAGCAUUGGUUGUAACGUUGUAGGGGUGAUGUUGCAGGGGUGAUGUUGCAGGGCAAAAAAUGUUUCAGGAAAGCUUAAUUUGUGAUUGCAUAGGCUGGGGAUGAGAGGAAGCAAAGUCUGCUUGUUUUUCUAAAAUAAUCACUUAGUUCACUAUCUA